rnacentral:rRNA from 1 species
CCUACGGGCGACAGCAGUGAGGAAUAUUGGUCAAUGGACGAGAGUCUGAACCAGCCAAGUAGCGUGAAGGAUGACUGCCCUAUGGGUUGUAAACUUCUUUUAUAUGGGAAUAAAAUGUUCCACGUGUGGGAUUUUGUAUGUACCAUAUGAAUAAGGAUCGGCUAACUCCGUGCCAGCAGCCGCGGUAAUACGGAGGAUCCGAGCGUUAUCCGGAUUUAUUGGGUUUAAAGGGAGCGUAGGUGGAUUGUUAAGUCAGUUGUGAAAGUUUGCGGCUCAACCGUAAAAUUGCAGUUGAAACUGGCAGUCUUGAGUACAGUAGAGGUGGGCGGAAUGCGUGGUGUAGCGGUGAAAUGCUUAGAUAUCACGAAGAACUCCGAUUGCGAAGGCAGUUCACUGGACUGCAACUGACACUGAGGCUCGAAAGUGUGGGUAUCAAACAGGAUUAGAUACCCGUGUAGUC